rnacentral:lncRNA from 1 species
CAUACGCUAGUGCUACAAUCGGAUUAGUAGGCUUGCUUGAAGCAUAGUGCUUUAGCUACUUCAAGGAAGUUUCUAUGUUUGUGCUUAACUACAUUUUGCUGUGGCAUGCCAAUCUAAGAUGUUUGAGAAUAAUUUCUAAAAAAUCUAGGUACGUCUAUAAUUGAUGAUCUAUAAAUUCCAUCUAAUUAUCACUCCAAACUAUUUUAAUUUACAAGAAAGCUGACUUUUAAUGAGAGCA